GCCCGGGUCGCGCAACUGGCAGACGCAACCGCCUUAAACGCGGUCGAGUGUGGGUUCGAUUCCCACCCCGGGCACCA
rnacentral:tRNA from 1 species